CUAAAAGAUGGCGACCGGCGCACGGGUGAGUAACACGUAUCCAACCUGCCGAUAACUCGGGGAUAGCCUUUCGAAAGAAAGAUUAAUACCCGAUGGCAUAAUUAGACCGCAUGGUCUUAUUAUUAAAGAAUUUCGGUUAUCGAUGGGGAUGCGUUCCAUUAGGCAGUUGGUGAGGUAACGGCUCACCAAACCUUCGAUGGAUAGGGGUUCUGAGAGGAAGGUCCCCCACAUUGGAACUGAGACACGGUCCAA
rnacentral:rRNA from 1 species